AUGGAAGAACUAACUAAAGAAAUUGAAUUAACUGCCCUUUUUAAUAAAAUAUCGGUUGGCGCUAAAACAAUUAACUUAGAAGAAACAUUGGACAUAAUAUACCAAUUGGGCUAUUAUCCUUCUAAAGAAAACAUAGAUGAGUUUGUUUAUACUAAUAAUGGUAUUUACUCUUUGUCUAACAUUAAAAAAUUUUGCAAUAAACUUGAAUCAAUCGAUUGCUCUACCGAAGGAUUAAUAGACGUGUUUAAUCAUUAUGACAUAAAUAAAACAGGUAAAAUAUCAAAAGAAGUAAUUAAGAUGUUAUUUACUAAUGUUGGUUCUAAAUUAUCAAAUUCAGAGAUGGAUAUUAUUAUCAGUAAAUUGUGUAAAGCGGACGAACAAGUAGAUUAUAAGGAAUUUUUAAACAAGUAACAAUAUACAUACACAUAUUUGAAUGUACAUAUACAUUAACUUCAAGAGUAUAAAUGUACACGUUAACAUAUAUAUAUGUGGAGUUUAUUUUUUAUAGGCUAUUAAAUCAAUGAUAUAAAAAAUUUCUCCGUGUUAUACACACACACAUGUCCUAUAGCUAAACUUUUUACUUAUCAAAAAAAAAAAAAGUGUUUAAGGAUUUUGUAACCGCUUGAAUGGAUUAUUUACAUUUUUCUUAUCUUCGUUUUAUGCCACAUUUUCAUUAUUUUUAUUUUUUUUGUUAUAGAAUUCACAUUUUCAAAAAUGCGCUAUACAAAAUAAUAAAAUAACAAAAAUUUUACA
rnacentral:lncRNA from 1 species